CAGUAGCCACGGGAAUACGAAGGGGGCUAGCGUUGUUCGGAAUCACUGGGCGUAAAGCGCACGUAGGCGGACACUUAAGUCAGAGGUGAAAUCCCAAGGCUCAACCUUGGAACUGCCUUUGAUACUGGGUGUCUUGAGGUCGAGAGAGGUGAGUGGAACUGCGAGUGUAGAGGUGAAAUUCGUAGAUAUUCGCAAGAACACCAGUGGCGAAGGCGGCUCACUGGCUCGAUUCUGACGCUGAGGUGCGAAAGCGUGGGGAGCAAACAGGAUUAGAUACCCCCGUAGUCCCUGUCUCUUAUAC
rnacentral:rRNA from 1 species